GGGGAUUUAGCUCAGCGGUAGAGCGCUUGCCUAGCAAGCGCAAGGCCCUGGGUUCGGUCCCCAGCUCCG
rfam:Rattus norvegicus chromosome 3, whole genome shotgun sequence.